GGGCAUCCGCUGGCACAUGCCCUCCAGGCCUGCUGGCUGGCAGCAGCACAGCCUUGCUCUCGCACGUGCUCCAGCAAGCGCACGCACGCCUCCAGCCAAGCUCCCUCUAGGUCAAGCAGGACAGGCUCCACCCGCCACAUCUGCUUCCGGGUGCUGUGCCUAAGGCUCGCGAGACCCGUGACCUGGCUGCCCGGUCCCCGGAUGAAAGGCAGGGGGCGGUCCAUGAAGCCAGCUCAAAGAGGCGGCAGAGGAGUAAGGAGUUCGGCGUCACCCGCCUCGUUAGGAGAGAACGGGAAAGGAAGAUAACUGUAUUCAUGAGUGAAGCAAAGGAAGAGACUCUAGAAAAAAGGUGGCCAAUUUCUUGACCAGUAAGGAGAGAAUAAAGAGAGAAAAAUAGAAAAAAAGUAAAGGCUUGGCAAGUACCAGAAGGCUCAUUGAGAUUUCCUGUGGUUUAUGACCCAAGUUGACAACUGUGACUUCUUCUUUGUGGCGUUCUGAUGGUUAUGUCGUAUAAGAAUCACCUUAUAUCAUUUGAGAAGCUGCUGACACGGAGCACUGGUUUGAUGGAUGACCUGAGCGGCUGCUGUUCCCAUCAGAGGGAAAUACCUCCUAAACACAGAUUCAUGGCAAGUGAAUUUUUUUGGAACUUGUUCAUCAUCCUGGUCCUUGGUAGCACCUGCCCUCCAGGAAGCUGAGAGGCUUCCGAAGUACCAAGAGGCCAGUGGUCUUCCCAUCUGGGAAUCCAACUACUGCAACUCCAGCAAGAUUUAAUCUGGAUUCCUUCGGGUCUCAAGGCUCUGCUUGCACCUCAUCUUAUAUCCUCAGCGGGUGGUUGAAUCAGUAGUGGGUGAUUCAUUGGAGUUAGUAAUGGAUGGGAAGGAAAUCACAUUGACGUUGACAUUGCCUUAAAUUGCUUUAUAUUGUAAUUGAGUCAUUCAAAUUCCUAUAUAUUUUGAAUAGUCAUUGAAAAUAAAACAAAAUUAAACUAUAUCCA
rnacentral:lncRNA from 1 species